ensembl:lncRNA
GCAGGGUGCAGGCAGGCCCCAGGGCUCCUGGUUCUGGAGGGGACCAGAUGGUAGUGAAGUCACUCCGUUGUGUCUGACUCCUUUUGACCCCGUAGACUGCAGCCCGCCAGGCGGCUCCAUCCAUGGAAUUCUCCAGCCCGGAUGGAAUUCUGGCCGUGGCAGGGGAAAUCACAGUGCCUUCCCAAGAGUCUCACUGUGCAGAUGAGAUCAGAUCAUAAAUGUAAGGCACUCCUAACCCAGGCUAAGUCCUUUGUUAGCCGUUGAUGGGAAAUGGGUGGGGGAGAUUCUAGGGACUCUGGUAUUAUUAUUAUUUUUUACAUACCUAUCAAUAAUCACUUUAUUUUUUUAACUUAAAAAAUUUUUUUUCUUUUAUAUUGGAGUAUAGCUGAUUAACAUUAAUGUGAUAGUUUCAGGUGGACAGCAAAGGGAUUCAGCCACACAUACACGAGUAUCCAUUCUCCCCUAGACUCCCCUCCCAUCCAGGCUGAGCAGAGUUCCCUGUGCUCUACAGUAGGUCCUCGUUGAUUAUCCAUUCUAAAUACAGCCAUGUGUACAUGUCCAUCCCGAACUCCCUAACUAUCCAUUCUGGGGAUCCUACAAGCUCUGGUAUUCUAAUACCUGGGGGGUGUAUAACAAGAGCUGCAUAAUGCUAGCUAAAAUCUUAGAAUGUUUAGUUCAAUUUCACUUUUUCUGCAAAAAAAAAAAAAAACUUAAAAAACCCAAAGUUUUAUUUAUUAAUGAUGUGUAAUUUUGCUCAUUUUUGUUUGUAUGUUUUAUCUUUUUUUUUUCUUUCUAGUUUUGCUAAUUUUUUAAAAAUUAAUCAUUUGGUCACUUGUUUCAUCCAUGCAUUAAAAUAAAUCCUAUCUUAUCCUGACAAAAAGCCUGCUUAGGGAAGUCUUACAAGGUAAACAUGAGUUUUUAGCGCUUCGUACUUUGGUCCCCUCCUCUCUGCCCCGGCUGUGGUGAGAAGCAAGGCGAGGUUCGGGGUUCGGGGAGACCGCAGGAGGGAAGUGGAGAGGUGGCAGCUGAUGGCUCAGGCCGCUGGGUCGUGCCUGGUGUCUGCAAGACAGGGCAGUCUGGCCGGGCAGUUAUGCAAGAGUGGAAAGACUUCUGAGAAGAAAGGAAGUCAGUGGCGGGCUGUGACCUGGACUGGUGCCCGGGAGGGGGUACCGCUUGCAGCCAGCCCCACCUGCCACUUCCUCUGCCCUUCCCAGGUGAGCGGUACCAAGAGUCUGACCUCGGUGCGGGGCCCGCAAGGCAGCACCACGUGAGACGGGGAAGACCAGAGACAAGCUGAGCAUACCUCAGGGAGGGGGCGUUUAGUGAAUGAUUAAAGGACCAUCACUCAGCUGUGAGCCAAGUGCCGUGUGCUGUGGGUUCAAGGGAGGACUGCCAUCAUCAUGGGACCCCACUCAGUCUACUCUUGCUUCGAACUUUCUGUUGCGGUAAAAGGAACCCACAGAGAAGGGCUGUGCAUGAAACUCAACGUGCCUAGGCCCAGGCUAAUUUUAGGAAGUGAGCGCACUUGUGGAACUGGCGUCCUUAGCAACAGAGCGAAUCACUUGCUGCCUCUGGCUCCCCUCCACUCACUGCGGGCCCCCUCCCCUGC